rnacentral:rRNA from 1 species
GACAGAGGUCCCGAGCGUUAGGCGGAAUCACUGGGCUUAAAGCGUGUGUAGGCGGAUUUGUAAGUACCUUGUGAAAUCCCACGGCUCAACCGUGGAACUGCUUGGUAUACUGCUUAUCUUGGGCCACUUAGGGGUUACCGGAACAAACGGUGGAGCGGUGAAAUGCGUAGAUAUCGUUUGGAACGCCAACGGUGAAAACAGACAGCUGGGAGUGUGCUGACGCUGAGACACGAAAGCCAGGGGAGCGAACGGG